UGCAAGUCGAGCGGUAGAGAGAAGCUUGCUUCUCUUGAGAGCGGCGGACGGGUGAGUAAUGCCUAGGAAUCUGCCUGGUAGUGGGGGAUAACGUUCGGAAACGGACGCUAAUACCGCAUACGUCCUACGGGAGAAAGCAGGGGACCUUCGGGCCUUGCGCUAUCAGAUGAGCCUAGGUCGGAUUAGCUAGUUGGUGAGGUAAUGGCUCACCAAGGCGACGAUCCGUAACUGGUCUGAGAGGAUGAUCAGUCACACUGGAACUGAGACACGGUCCAGACUCCUACGGGAGGCAGCAGUGGGGAAUAUUGGACAAUGGGCGAAAGCCUGAUCCAGCCAUGCCGCGUGUGUGAAGAAGGUCUUCGGAUUGUAAAGCACUUUAAGUUGGGAGGAAGGGCAGUUACCUAAUACGUGAUUGUUUUGACGUUACCGACAGAAUAAGCACCGGCUAACUCUGUGCCAGCAGCCGCGGUAAUACAGAGGGUGCAAGCGUUAAUCGGAAUUACUGGGCGUAAAGCGCGCGUAGGUGGUUAGUUAAGUUGGAUGUGAAAUCCCCGGGCUCAACCUGGGAACUGCAUUCAAAACUGACUGACUAGAGUAUGGUAGAGGGUGGUGGAAUUUCCUGUGUAGCGGU
rnacentral:rRNA from 3 species